rnacentral:tRNA from 1 species
UAAUUAUACAUAUUGGCAGAAUAAUGCGAUAGAUUUAGAAUCAAUACAAACC